rnacentral:rRNA from 1 species
UACGUAGGGGGCAAGCGUUGUCCGGAUUUAUUGGGCGUAAAGAGCGUGUAGGCGGCCAGACAGGUCCGUUGUGGAAACUCGAGGCUCAACCUCGAGAUGUCGAUGGAAACCGUCUGGCUAGAGUCCGGAAGAGGAGUGUGGAAUUCCUGGUGUAGCGGUGAAAUGCGCAGAUAUCAGGAAGAACACCUAUGGCGAAGGCAGCACUCUGGGACGGUACUGACGCUGAGACGCGAAAGCGUGGGGAGCGAACAGG